rnacentral:rRNA from 1 species
UGGCGGCAGGCUUAACACAUGCAAGUCGAGCGGUAGCAGAUCUAGCUUGCUAGAUGCUGACGAGCGGCGGACGGGUGAGUAACGCGUAGGAACCUGCCCAGUAGUGGGGGAUAGCCCGGGGAAACUCGGAUUAAUACCGCAUACGCUCUACGGAGGAAAGAGGGGGCUUCGGCUCUCGCUAUUGGAUGGGCCUGCGUGAGAUUAGCUAGUUGGUGAGGUAAUGGCUCACCAAGGCGACGAUCUCUAGUUGGUCUGAGAGGAUGAUCAGCCACACUGGGACUGAGACACGGCCCAGACUCCUACGGGAGGCAGCAGUGGGGAAUAUUGCACAAUGGGCGCAAGCCUGAUGCAGCCAUGCCGCGUGUGUGAAGAAGGCUUUCGGGUUGUAAAGCACUUUCAGUGGGGAGGAAGGCCUCGUAGUUAAUAGCUGCGAGGAUUGACGUUACCCACAGAAGAAGCACCGGCUAACUCCGUG